CCUACGGGUGGCAGCAGUGGGGAAUAUUGGGCAAUGGGCGCAAGCCUGACCCAGCAACGCCGCGUGAAGGAAGAAGGCUUUCGGGUUGUAAACUUCUUUUCUCAGGGACGAAGCAAGUGACGGUACCUGAGGAAUAAGCCACGGCUAACUACGUGCCAGCAGCCGCGGUAAUACGUAGGUGGCAAGCGUUAUCCGGAUUUACUGGGUGUAAAGGGCGUGUAGGCGGGGACGCAAGUCAGAUGUGAAAUCCUGCGGCUUAACCGCAGAACUGCAUUUGAAACUGUUGAUCUUGAGUACUGGAGAGGCAGAUGGAAUUCCUAGUGUAGCGGUGAAAUGCGUAGAUAUUAGGAGGAACACCAGUGGCGAAGGCGGUCUGCUGGACAGCAACUGACGGUGAGGCGCGAAAGCAUGGGGAGCAAACAGGAUUAGAUACCCGUGUAGUC
rnacentral:rRNA from 1 species